UCUUUGCAGGACAAGGAUGCUCCUGACUUUCAAGAAUGCCUGAAUUGCUACACCUUGCUUUUCUGGUUGGCUGACAAGUUCCACCAUAUUAGUAAAUGAUUGCAUUCUAUGCAUGCUGGCUUUCACAUGCUACCUGAGGCAUGAAACAGAUAGGUGGGAGGGCACACAGGCUGUCGCCAAUUUAUUAAUGCGCAAUUUGACUAAAUGGCUAAUGGAAACACUUCAACCUCUACAUUUUUAUUCGACACUAGGUUUUUUUUGCGUAAAAGUAUUAUUUUUUUAAAUGUGUGACUUCAUUACAUCCAGCUGUUUUUGUCGACACCAGAUAGUUGAAUGGAAAUGCAACCUUGCAGAGCGAGCUGGGAGUGUGAGCGAGAGGGAGCUGAUCCACGCAGAUUGCGGAAAAUGGGCUCUAGCAAAGAAGUGGCUCGCCUGUGGAAGGAAGGCGUCGGGGGAUGGCAGCCAAUGGCAAGCGACCAGCCAUGGUGACUCAGAAUCUGUCUCUUAUGGAGAGGACGAGGAUAACUGCUGGUGCUGUGGGAUUGUCAGGCCCUGCCAGACCCUGCCAACAGCCCUUAAUUCCACAUUAAUGCAGUCUAAAUGAAGUGUCAGUGGAAGAUGGAUCUGUGGAGGGCAGUGGCUUGAUGAGGGUUGUCUGCAGAGUGGGUGGACCCGCCUGGGUGGACACCUGGUUACCCGCCGCAAGCUCCACAAUGCCCCCAAGGGCCCCCUACAUCUAGAGGGUCUGAAGGGCAGGCUGGGGAGCAACCUGUCACACUUCUGGGGUGUGUGUGGGGUGGGGGGGGGGGGGGUGCAUGUGUGUGCAAAUGUGUGUGUACAGUGCACGUGCAUGUGUGCGUGUCUGUGUACAGUAUGUGUGCGUGUGUGUGUCUGCCCCUAUCCACGACCAAUUAAUCAAAAUUACACCAAAGGUUUCACUAAUUUAGAGAGCCCUAAACACCCUUUCCAAGAAAAGCGUAAACAUUAUGCAUGCUGAAAAGGGGAAGGAGAAAUCCUGUCUCUUUUCAUUCUGACAAAUCUCAUAACAUUUGCCAGACUUCUUUUGAUGAAGGUACGUUUUAGUGUUGUCUGUCAGUAAGUAGCAUUGCGAGGACAAUACUGCCGGUGGGAGACUUUUACAGGCCUCUUAAAUACAACCAUCCCUCCUACUGUACUGUACAUAUCUAUAGUAAAAACCCCUUUUACUCCAUUACAUUUUUAAAUGGAAAAAUCCUUUUCACUCCUUGUAAGUGUAAACCCACCGUGUAUGGAGUAAUAUUCAAAAUGCAAAGCCUGAGUAUGACAUGGCUGUAUGGUGGUUGUAUAAACCAACUUGGCAGGUCCGUGUAUCUGCAUGUGUGUGUGUGUUGUAUGACCUACAUAUGUUUGGACAUAUACAUAUUUUCACCCUUUAUUUUACCGGGUAAGUUGACUGAGAACACAUUCUCAUUUACAGCAACGACCUGGGGAAUAGUUUCAGGGGAGGACGAAUGAGCCAAUUGGAAGCCCGCGUCACACAAAAACGUUACUCCCAAGUGUCAACCAUGUGUUAAGAGAGCAGAUUGUAUACGUUUAUAUCAUUACGCCUACGUCAGAGACGCACAACCUUUUGUAUCUCCCUGGCACUAAAUAGAUCCAUUGGUGACUGACCAUAGAUUUCCCACGCUUCACCUUCCAGGAGGCAGGUAUCCCUAGAUGUUAGAGAGUCGAGCUAACAAACAGGAGACUGUAAAAAUCUGGUGGGAAGUGAGCUGGCAACCAGGGCGCCCAGUGUGGUAACCCCCCGCACCUCUCCAAAAAACCUGUAUAUGUAUGCGUUCGUUUCGGAGGGUUUAUAAGUGGAAGUCAAAUUUCAGUUGGACCUUGUUAGCAUUUGACCA